rnacentral:rRNA from 1 species
UGGGGAAUUUUGGACAAUGGGGGAAACCCUGAUCCAGCCAUCCCGCGUGUGCGAUGAAGGCCUUCGGGUUGUAAAGCACUUUUGGCAGGAAAGAAGCGUCGCGGGUUAAUACCCCGCGAAACUGACGGUACCUGCAGAAUAAGCACCGGCUAACUACGUGCCAGCAGCCGCGGUAAUACGUAGGGUGCAAGCGUUAAUCGGAAUUACUGGGCGUAAAGCGUGCGCAGGCGGUUCGGAAAGAAAGAUGUGAAAUCCCAGAGCUUAACUUUGGAACUGCAUUUUUAACUACCGGGCUAGAGUGUGUCAGAGGGAGGUGGAAUUCCGCGUGUAGCAGUGAAAUGCGUAGAUAUGCGGAGGAACACCGAUGGCGAAGGCAGCCUCCUGGGAUAACACUGACGCUCAUGCACGAAAGCGUGGGGAGCAAACAGGAUUAGAUACCCUGGUAGUCCACGCCCUAAACGAUGUCAACUAGCUGUUGGGGCCUUCGGGCCUUGGUAGCGCAGCUAACGCGUGAAGUUGACCGCCUGGGGAGUACGGUCGCAAGAUUAAAACUCAAAUGAAUUGACGGGGUCGAU